rnacentral:rRNA from 12 species
UAAAACAGACCACUGCACCCGAGUCCAUGUCCCCGAUAGCAUCCGAUCUUGGAAGCUAAGCAGGGCUGUGCCUGGUUAGUACUUGGAUGGGAGACCAACUUGGAAGACCAGGGGCUGCUAUAG